rnacentral:rRNA from 1 species
CCAGACUCCUACGGGAGGCAGCAGUGAGGAAUAUUGGUCAAUGGGCGCGAGCCUGAACCAGCCAAGUCGCGUGAGGGAAGACGGUCCUAUGGAUUGUAAACCUCUUUGGUCGGGGAGCAAAAGACGCCACGCGUGGCGUUCCGAGAGUACCCGACGAAAAAGCAUCGGCUAACUCCGUGCCAGCCGCCGCGGACAUACGUAGGGAGCAAGCGUUGUCCGGAAUUACUGGGUGUAAAGGGAGCGUAAGCGGGAGGAUAAGUUGAAUGUGAAAUCUAUGGGCUCAACCUAGAGCUGCGUUCAAAACUGUUCUUCUUGAGUGAAGUAGAGGCAGGCGGAAUUCCUAGUGUAGCGGUGAAAUGCGUAGAUAUUAGGAGGAACACCAGUGGCGAAGGCGGCCUGCUGGGCUUUUACUGACGCUGAGGCUCGAAAGCGUGUGUAGCAAACAGGAUUAGAUACCCGCGUA